rnacentral:rRNA from 1 species
CCUACGGGAGGCAGCAGUGGGGAAUAUUGGGCAAUGGGCGCAAGCCUGACCCAGCAACGCCGCGUGAAGGAAGAAGGCUUUCGGGUUGUAAACUUCUUUUCUCAGGGACGAAGCAAGUGACGGUACCUGAGGAAUAAGCCACGGCUAACUACGUGCCAGCAGCCGCGGGAAUACGUAGGCGGCAAGCGUUAUCCGGAUUUACUGGGUGUAAAGGGCGUGUAGGCGGGAAAGCAAGUCAGAUGUGAAAACCAUGGGCUCAACCUGUGGCCUGCAUUUGAAACUGUUUUUCUUGAGUACUGGAGAGGCAGACGGAAUUCCUAGUGUAGCGGUGAAAUGCGUAGAUAUUAGGAGGAACACCAGUGGCGAAGGCGGUCUGCUGGACAGCAACUGACGCUGAGGCGCGAAAGCGUGGGGAGCAAACAGGAUUAGAUACCCGGGUAGUC